CAUCCUGAUUCAUAGAAGAACCUUAUAUUCACUAGGCCACAUCAGCUCUCCGUCUUUUAAAUGAGGAUGAUAAACAACAUUAAAUCUCCUGAAUUAAUUUUUGUAUACUUUGUCUUGCUUGAAUUGAAGAUUAUUAAGUUAUAGAAUUCUGUCUGUAUAAACAAGAACAAAUUAACAUUUUCAAUUUUUACUGAUUCUAAAUAGAGCUCUUUAAGUAGGAGUGAUCUGUAAGAAUAUGGUAAUAGGAUUGUAACAAGUAUAUUAGUACUGUACUGGUUAUUCUGCAUUUGAUGGCUGAAAGGUUUGCUAGUUUAAGAACUCUGGAAUAAAUUCCAAGCACAACUCGUUCUUGAUUGUCCCACGGAUCAUUCAUCAAGAAAGAAGACAAAACAGGAUGAAACUUUCAACAAUGGGUCCCUCCUGGAACUCCAGGUCUGUCACAAGAAAGAGGAAAAAUGGGGAUAAGGACAGAAACUGCCAGUGAAAUUGUUCACUUAAGAAGGCAUUUCAAAGUUUAAAAGGAGAUGGAGAAAGAAGAGAAAAACAAGAUAUGUUACCUUUGAGACCUUCUCAUCUCUAGGCAAGAGGCAGUUGGAGCUAAAGAUGUGAAAAUUUCCGUUAAUGUUGAAGCCAUAUUAAAACGGCUUGGGGGAAAAAAAACCCUAGUCUGC